CCGAACCUAUUAAAGUCUGUGAGUAUGAGAGUCUGAGUCUUUCACAGUCCAAGUCUAUAACAGUCUGAGUCUAUAAGACAAGAUAAGAUAAGCUAUUCCUUUAAGAGUAGCCUGAGUCUAAAGCAAUAUCUAAUAACAGUCUGGAUUACAGCAGCCUGAGUCUAAAACAGUCUUAGUCUAUAACAGUCUGAGUCUAUAACACGUUAACUCUAAAGGAGUCUGAGUCCAUAGUAGUCUGAGUCUAUAACAGUCUGAGGUUACAACGGUCUCGGUCUAUAACAGUCUGAGUUUACAACAGUCUAAGUCUGUAACAGUCUGAGGUUACAACGGUCUAAGUCUGUAACUGUCUGAGUCUAUAACAGUCUGAGUUUACAACGGUCUCAGUCUAUAACAGUCUGAGUUUACAACAGUCUGAGUUUACAACAGUCUGAGUCCAUAACAGUCUGAGUCCAUAACAGUCUGAGUUUACAACAGUCUUAGUCCAUAACAGUCUGAGUUUACAACAGUCUUAGUCUAUAACAGUCUGAGUCUAUAACAGUCUGAGUUUACAACAGUCUGAGUUUACAACGGUCUCAGUCUAUAACAGUCUGAGUUUAUAACAGUCUGAGUCUAUAAGUGUCUGAGUUUACAACAGUCUGAGUUUACAACAGUCUGAGUCCAUAACAGUCUGAGUUUACAACAGUCUGAGUCUAUAACAGUCUGAGUUUACUACAGUCUGAGUCCAUAACAGUCUGAGUUUACAACAGUCUUAGUCUAUAACAGUCUGAGUUUACAACAGUCUAAGUCUGUAACAGUCUGAGUUUACAACAGUCUGAGGUUACAACAGUCUAAGUCUGUAACUGUCUGAGUCUAUAAGUGUCUGAGUUUACAACGGUCUCAGUCUAUAACAGUCUGAGUUUACAACAGUCUGAGUUUACAACGGUCUCAGUCUAUAACAGUCUGAGUUUACAACAGUCUGAGUCUAUAACAUUCUGAGACUGUAGCAGUCUGGGUUAACAACAGUCUUAGUCUGUAACUGUCUGAGUUUACAACAGUCUGAGUUUACAACGGUCUCAGUCUAUAACAGUCUGAUUUUAUAACAGUCUGAGUCUAUAAGUGUCUGAGCUUUUCACUAUCCAAACCUAUAGCAGUCUGAGUGUCUCAGGCUACAGAGGCUGGUCAUGUGACUUUACAACAGUUACUGUCCUUGUCUGUGUCUGCUGCAUCACUUUCUACUUGUCCUCAGGUGUAAACCCACGGUCAGAUGACCUACGGUGGGUUGGGGGGUGGGGGUGCAGCUAUAACCUUUGACUAUGGUUAUUGAAAUCAUGAUAUGCUCAGAGUCGGUGUGUUGUUUCAGGAGCUUAAAACAGUUUAACUCAUUAUCUGUCGGCAGGAGGUCAGACUGCAGUCAUCCCAAAACACUCUGGAGGGGGUCAGCAAUUUGUAGAAGAACAGCAGGGGGUGGGGCUUUACUUCUGACCGUCAAGUAGGCGGUGGGUCACUGUCUGUGUUAUCUCUGAGUUAAUGAUGGUGAGCAGCUGAGCAGCCUCCGCUAGAGCGCUCGUUAACGCUCACCAACAACACCCCCAGUUCUCAGUACGCUGCCCUAACGAGCCCAGAUCUUGAUGUUGGGGGAGAGAAGAACAGCGUGGGUGUUGCCAUGGUGACAGGCGCAGCUAAGGAUGGACAGAAAGUGGCUACCUCACACUGAAUGCUCUCAUUAUGAUCAGAGUUCAGAUGUUUGUUCAACAAUGCAGCAGUUUAGCACAGUGAGUGUGUGUGUGUGUGUGUGUGUGUGUGUGUGUGUGUGUGUGUGUGUGUGUGUGU